CGUCGACCGGCGCACGGGUGAGUAACGCGUAUCCAACCUGCCCUUUACUUGGGGAUAACCCGUUGAAAGACGGACUAAUACCCAAUGAUAUUCAUUGAUGACAUCUGAUUUGAAUUAAAGAUUUAUCGGUAUAGGAUGGGGAUGCGUCUGAUUAGCUUGUUGGUGAGGUAACGGCUCACCAAGGCAACGAUCAGUAGGGGUUCUGAGAGGAAGGUCCCCCACAUUGGAACUGAGACACGGUCCAAACUCCUACGGGAGGCAGCGCG
rnacentral:rRNA from 1 species